CCUACGGGUGGCAGCAGUGGGGAAUAUUGGGCAAUGGGCGCAAGCCUGACCCAGCAACGCCGCGUGAAGGAAGAAGGCUUUCGGCUCGUAAACCUCUGUUCUCAGGGACGAAGAAAGUGACGGUACCUGAGGAAUAAGCCACGGCUAACUACUUGCCAGCAGCCGCGGUAAUACGUAGGUGGCAAGCGUUGUCCGGAUUGAUUGGGUGUAAAGGGCGUGUAGGCUGGAGCGCAAGUCAGAUGUGAAAACUCAGGGCUCAACCCUGAGCCUGCAUUUGAAACCGUGUUUCUUGAGUGCUGGAGAGGCGAGCGGAAUUCCGUGUGUAGCGGGGAAAUGCGUAGAUAUACGGAGGAACACCAGUGGCGAAGGCGGAUUGCUGGACAGUAACUGACGCUGAGGCGCGAAAGCGUGGGGAGCAAACAGAAUUAGAUACCCGUGUAGUC
rnacentral:rRNA from 1 species